rnacentral:rRNA from 1 species
AUUGAACGCUGGCCGCAGGCCUAACACAUGCAAGUCGAGCGGAUGAAGGGAGCUUGCUCCUGGAUUCAGCGGCGGACGGGUGAGUAAUGCCUAGGAAUCUGCCUGGUAGUGGGGGAUAACGUCCGGAAACGGGCGCUAAUACCGCAUACGUCCUGAGGGAGAAAGUGGGGGAUCUUCGGACCUCACGCUAUCAGAUGAGCCUAGGUCGGAUUAGCUAGUUGGUGGGGUAAAGGCCUACCAAGGCGACGAUCCGUAACUGGUCUGAGAGGAUGAUCAGUCACACUGGAACUGAGACACGGUCCAGACUCCUACGGGAGGCAGCAGUGGGGAAUAUUGGACAAUGGGCGAAAGCCUGAUCCAGCCAUGCCGCGGGUGUGAAGAAGGUCUUCGGAUUGUAAAGCACUUUAAGUUGGGAGGAAGGGCAGUAAGUUAAUACCGUGCUGUUUUGACGUUACCAACAGAAUAAGCGCCGGCUAACUUCGUGC